UUUUUCAUCACUAGAUAUGACAACUUACAGAAAAGUGCAUGAAACAGUUCAGUGUAGUGAGAUGCAGUAAUGCUCAUCUUAAAUAGUCUCCUACUCAUUUCUGGUGCUACUGACAUGAAAUUUUCUCCAGAUGUCGAUGGCAGCAGAUUUUUAUCAAGAAUGUCUCGGUACAUUUGUCCAUCCAUCCCUCCUUCAGUUACAUGAAGUUUGCCAGUGCCGUAUGCUGAAAAACAGCCCCACACCAUGAUGUUCCCACCUCCAAACUUCACUGUUGGUGUGGUGUUUUGGGGUGAUGUGCUGUGCCAUUUGAUCUCCAAACAUGGUGUGUAUUAUACCAUCCAAAGAGUUCAAUUUUUGGUCUCAUCUGACCAGACUGUAUUCUCCCAGUAUUUCACAGGCUUCUCUAAAUGCUGUGCAGCAAACUUUAAAUGAGCUUCAACAUGUUUUUUCUUCAGCAAUGGAGUCUUACGUGGUGAGCGUGCAUACAAGCCAUGGCUGUUGAGUGCGUUACUUAUUGUUUUCUUUGAAACAAUUGUACCUGCUAAUUCCAGGUCUUUCUGAGACUCUCCACAGGUGGUCCUUGGCUCUUGGACAACUCUUCUGAUAAUUCUUUUGAGUCCUCUGUCAGAAAUCUUGCGAGGAGCACCUG